UGAGGUUUUAGGUCUUAGGGUACAGAGAUGAACACAGACCUGGUCCCUGCCGCAGUGGAAGCCAAAGGCCAGUGUGAUGACAGACCAUGAGCAAACAGUUUCCAUGUUUGCAUCAUAGACUGUGGAGUUGUGAGAAUCUGUCCCCAAAAGAACACGUGAGGAUAAAGUCAGAAAGAGAAAAAUGACUUCGAAUCUUCCAGGGAAACAACAUGAAGUUUGCAG
rnacentral:lncRNA from 1 species